UACAUAGGCCACAAGCGUUAGGCGGAAUCACUGGGCUUAAAGCGUGUGUAGGCGGGUUGGCAAGUACUUUGUGAAAUCCCACGGCUUAACCGUGGAAUUGCUUGGUAUACUGCCGAUCUUGAGUCAUCUAGAGGUAACCGGAACAGAUGGUGGAGCGGUGAAAUGCGUAGAGAUCAGGAAGAACAUCGGUGGCGAAGGCGCUCUGCUGGACCAUAACUGACACUCAGGGACGAAAGCUAGGGGAGCGAAUGGG
rnacentral:rRNA from 1 species